GUAGGGUACGGCGACAUUUACCCGACCACGGUUCUGGGCAAAGUGAUCGGAGGCGUCUGUUGUAUCUGUGGCGUGUUGGUUAUUGCGCUGCCCAUUCCCAUUAUCGUCAACAAU